rnacentral:piRNA from 1 species
GUCGGGAAGGCGUGUGCUUCGCA